UAAUGCACAAUGGGCGCAAGCCUGAUGCAGCCAUGCCGCGUGUAUGAAGAAGGCCUUCGGGUUGUAAAGUACUUUCACCGGGGAGGAANNGAGUAAAGUUAAUACCUUUGCUCAUUGACGUUACCCGCAGAAGAAGCCCCGGCUAACUCCGUGCCAGCAGCCGCGGUAAUACGGAGGGCGCAAGCGUUAAUCGGAAUUACUGGGCGUAAAGCGCACGCAGGCGGUUUGUUAAGUCAGAUGUGAAAUCCCCGGGCUCAACCUGGGAACUGCAUCUGAUACUGGCAAGCUUGAGUCUCGUAGAGGGGGGUAGAACUCCAGGUGUAGCGGUGAGAUGCGUAGAGAUCUGGAGGAAUACCGGUGGCGAAGGCGGCCCCCUGGACGAAGACUGACGCUCAGGUGCGAAAGCGUGGGGAGCAAA
rnacentral:rRNA from 1 species